rnacentral:rRNA from 1 species
CGCGUAGGCGGGAGGGCAAGUCGGUCGUGAAAUCCUCCGGCUCAACCGGAGAACGUCGGCCGAUACUGCCUUUCUUGAGGGAUGCAGAGGAGACUGGAAUUCCCGGUGUAGCGGUGAAAUGUGUAGAGAUCGGGAGGAACACCGGUGGCGAAGGCGGGUCUCUGGGCAUCUCCUGACGCUGAGGCGCGAAAGCGUGGGGAGCAAACG